rnacentral:rRNA from 1 species
AGAUUGAACGCUGGCGGCAGGCCUAACACAUGCAAGUCGAGCGGCAGCACGGGUACUUGUACCUGGUGGCGAGCGGCGGACGGGUGAGUAAUGCCUAGGAAUCUGCCUGAUAGUGGGGGAUAACGUUCGGAAACGGACGCUAAUACCGCAUACGUCCUACGGGAGAAAGUGGGGGAUCUUCGGACCUCACGCUAUCAGAUGAGCCUAGGUCGGAUUAGCUAGGUUGGUAGGGUAAAGGCCUACCAAGGCUACGAUCCGUAACUGGUCU